rnacentral:misc_RNA from 1 species
GAUGAAAACGCAGCGAAAUGCGAUAAGUAAUGUGAAUUGCAGAAUUCAGUGAAUCAUCGAAUCUUUGAACGCACAUUGCGCCCGCCAGUAUUCUGGCGGGCAUGCCUGUUCGAGCGUCAUUUCAACCAUCAAGCCCCAGGCUUGUGUUGGGGACCUGCGGCUGCCGCAGGCCCUGAAAACCAGUGGCGGGCUCGCUGUCACACCGGGCGUAGUAGAUUUUAUCUCGCUCAGGGCGUGCUGCGGGUCCCGGCCGUUAAAAGCCUUUUUUUACCCAAGGUUGACCUCGGAUCAGGUAGGAAGACCCGCUGAACUUAAGCAUAUCAAUAAGCGGAGGA